AUUGAACGCUGGCGGCAUGCUUUACACAUGCAAGUCGAACGGUAACAGGCCUUCGGGUGCUGACGAGUGGCGAACGGGUGAGUAAUGCAUCGGAACGUGCCCAGAGGUGGGGAUAACGGAGCCAAAGGUUGGGUAAAACCGCAAGGUGACUUGGGGUGAAAGGGGGGGACCAAACAGCAAUGGUUUGCCUCGGCGCCUUUGGGCGGCCGAUGUCAGAUUAGGUAGUUGGUGGGGUAAAGGCCUACCAAGCCGACGAUCUGUAGCUGGUCUGAGAGGACGACCAGCCACACUGGGACUGAGACACGGCCCAGACUCCUACGGGAGGCAGCAGUGGGGAAUUUUGGACAAUGGGCGCAAGCCUGAUCCAGCAAUGCCGCGUGCGGGAAGAAGGCCUUCGGGUUGUAAACCGCUUUUGUACGGAACGAAAAGGCUCUGGCUAAUACCUGGGGCUGAUGACGGUACCGUAAGAAUAAGCACCGGCUAACUACGUG
rnacentral:rRNA from 1 species